GGGCUCGUCGGCAUCGUCGUCGUCGUCGUCGUCGUCGGAGGCUACCCGGGAGACCGCGGAGGAGCCUGACAAGGAGGAGCCGGCGGCCACAGAGGGAACGACAGACUAUCAGCAGGAAAACUCUGAUAAGGAGGCGCAAGUCUCGGAGAGCGGGGAGGAAGAGACGUUUAACAAACAACAAGAAGGAUCUCACUGAAAAACAUUUGGACCCACCACAGAACAGGCCCAAAAAAUCCAGCUGGGAGGAACAAAACGAGAUGAAGAAAGAAGAAAGAACUUGUUCGUUGUUUCUGGUUUCUUAUUUUCUAGAAGCGCAUGGGAAUUUUAUUAACACUGACGUCAUUCCAAACCGCAUCCCCCAAAGAGUGACAUCCAAUGAAAUCUGCCUUUUCUGUUACACUUGACAGAUACGUUUGACAGCAUGUGUUCUCAUCAAAAAUAAGUUUGUUUUAAAGUAAUAAACUGGAAGGAAGGCAGAUUUUAUUUAGAGAAAUCAUUUUAACUCCAAUCUCUCUUUUACCUCUUUGUUUUGACGCACCAUGCCUUCAUUAAAAGGUAUCACUGACUACCAUUU